rnacentral:rRNA from 1 species
GACGAACGCCGGCGGCACGCCUAACACAUGCAAGUCGAACGGUGAAGAGAAGCUUGCUUCUCGGAUCAGUGGCGGACGGGUGAGUAACAUGUGAGGAACCUGCCUUUCAGAGGGGGAUAACGUUUGGAAACGAACGCUAAUACCGCAUAACAUAUUCGGACGGCAUCGUCUGAAUAUCAAAGGAGCAAUUCGCUGAAAGAUGGCCUCGCACCUGAUUAGAUAGUUGGUGAGGUAACGGCUCACCAAGUCGACGAUCAGUAGCCGGACUGAGAGGAUGAACGGCCACAUUGGGACUGAGAUACGGCCCAGACUCCUACGGGAGGCAGCAGUGGGGAAUAUUGGGCAAUGGGCGAAAGCCUGACCCAGCAACGCCGCGUGAAGGAAGAAGGGCCCUUCGGGUUGUAAACUUCUUUAGUCAGGACGAAGGACGUGACGGUACCUGCAGAAAAGACAACGGCUAACUACGUAG